rnacentral:lncRNA from 1 species
GCUCUAUGGAGUACAAUUUCUUCUUUUUGUCACCUGUGUACUGUUUCUCAGUCGUGAGGGAGUUCGGUGAGCAAUCCUGCGGGCAGACAUGAAAAGGUGCUUCUUCAUUUUAAUAGCAAUGUGUUUAUUUGUACCGGCUAAGGACCUGUAAUUCUCAUGUAUUAUGCUACAGUGAUGGUACUUCAACUGAAGAAAAUGUUAUUUGUGACUCAUCAAUAUUGUUUGAGUACUUUUAUAACAAGAGUUGUUUAUGGUUGGAAAUCAUAGAUCAUUUGGCUUUGGUUAAAUGAAUUAAUUGUUUCACAUUAA